rnacentral:rRNA from 1 species
UUCGAUUAGAGUUUGAUCAUGGCUCAGGAUGAACGCUAGCGGCAGGCUUAAUACAUGCAAGUCCAGGGGCAGCACGGGUAGCAAUAUCUGGUGGCGACCGGCGCACGGGUGCGUAACACGUAUACAAUCUACCCUUAACAGGGGGAUAGCCCUCCGAAAGGAGGAUUAAUACCCCAUAAUAAAUUGAAUGGCAUCAUUUGAUUUUGAAAGUUCCGACGGUUAAGGAUGAGUAUGCGUCUGAUUAGCUAGUUGGUGAGGUAAAGGCUCACCAAGGCAACGAUCAGUAGGGGAUCUGAGAGGACUACCCCCCACACUGGUACUGAGACACGGACCAGACUCCUACGGGAGGCAGCAGUAAGGAAUAUUGGUCAAUGGAGGCAACUCUGAACCAGCCAUGCCGCGUGCAGGAAGACGGCCCUAUGGGUUGUAAACUGCUUUUGUACGGGAGAAAACCCUUUCACGUGUGAGAGGUUGAUAGUACCGUAAGAAUAAGCAUCGGCUAACUUCGUGCCAGCAGCCGCGGUAAGACGAAGGAUGCAAGCGUUAUCCGGAUUCAUUGGGUUUAAAGGGAGCGUAGGUGGACUUGUAAGUCAGUGGUGAAAUCUCUCAGCUUAACUGAGAAACUGCCAUUGAUACUGCAGGUCUUGAGUACAGAUGAUGUGGGCGGAAUAUGACAUGUAGUGGUGAAAUACUUAGAUAUGUCAUAGAACACCGAUUGCGAAGGCAGCUCACAAAACUGUAACUGACACUGAGGCUCGAAAGUGCGGGGAUCAAACAGGAUUAGAUACCCUGGUAGUCCGCACCGUAAACGAUGAUUACUCGUUGUUAGCGAUAUGACAGUUAGCGACCAAGCGAAAGCGAUAAGUAAUCCACCUGGGGAGUACGCCGGCAACGGUGAAACUCAAAGGAAUUGACGGGGGCCCGCACAAGCGGAGGAGCAUGUGGUUUAAUUCGAUGAUAGGCGAGGAACCUUACCUGGGCUUGAAAGUUAGUGACCGUCUCUGAAAGGAGAUUUUCCGCAAGGACACGAAACUAGGUGCUGCAUGGCUGUCGUCAGCUCGUGCCGUGAGGUGUUGGGUUAAGUCCCGCAACGAGCGCAACCCCUACCAUUAGUUACCAGCGAGUAAUGUCGGGAACUCUAAUGGAACUGCCCGUGCAAACGGUGAGGAAGGUGGGGAUGACGUCAAGUCAUCACGGCCCUUACGUCCAGGGCUACACACGUGCUACAAUGGCCGGUACAACGGGCAGCUACACAGCGAUGUGAUGCUAAUCUCUAAAAACCGGUCUCAGUUCGGAUUGAAGUCUGCAACUCGACUUCAUGGAGCUGGAUUCGCUAGUAAUCGCGCAUCAGCAAUGGCGCGGUGAAUACGUUCUCCGGGCCCUUGUAGAC